rnacentral:sRNA from 1 species
AUUCGCGUCGGGCACACGGGAAACUCGUCAAUAUUAAAACAAUUCCGAGACCCUUGGAUCUUGCGAUGGCGUGCCGUGGCUCUUUAUGGGCGGACGGAUUACAAAGCACGAUUCAUCCUCAAAUCCUUACUUUCGGAGUUAUCCAAAGUCCCCGACGCGAUCUUAUAA